CUGACGCAGCUACGCCGCGUGGGUGAUGAAGGCCUUCGGGUCGUAAAGCCCUGUCCGGUGGGAAGAAUGUCUUUAAGUCCAACAGGCGUUAGAUUUGACGGUACCACCAGAGGAAGCACCGGCUAACUCCGUGCCAGCAGCCGCGGUAAUACGGAGGGUGCGAGCGUUAUUCGGAAUUACUGGGCGUAAAGCGCGUGUAGGCGGGAAGGUAAGUCUGACGUGAAAGCCCCGGGCUUAACCCGGGAAGUGCGUUGGAAACUGCUUUCCUUGAGUUCCGGAGAGGAUGGGGGAAUUCCCGGUGUAGAGGUGAAAUUCGUAAAGAUCGGGAGGAAUACCAGUGGCGAAGGCGCCCAUCUGGACGGUAACUGACGCUGAGACGCGAAAGCGUGGGGAGCAAACAGGAUUAGAUACCCUGGUAGUCCACGCUGUAAACGAUGAGCACUAGGUGUAGCGGGUAAUCAUUCCUGCUGUGCCGCAGCUAACGCGAUAAGUGCUCCGCCUGGGG
rnacentral:rRNA from 1 species